rnacentral:lncRNA from 10 species
GAAAGGGUAGCAGGUGUGCCUCCCAACCAACCCUUUAUUGCCUGGGCAUGUGACAGCAUUUUGCGGCACCUCAGUAAUGAGCCAGAGAAGAAGGAAAGGCAGAUGAAUUUGCCAGCAUUAUUGCAGAUAAGGAGUUCAUAUGCUGGAAUGAUAGUGACACAGGAGUUUAACACUCCUACAGUAUCCAGAGCCUGGAUCCCUGAGUCAUCAGAUGGAGAAGAACUACUCAGGAGAGUCAUCCAACCUUCAUAGACAGUGGCAUGAGUGGGAAUUAAACAUUGAUUAUGUUAAGCCAUUGCAGUUUGGGGUUGUUUGUUACAGAAGUGUUCAUUUUCCCUUAUUGACCCA